rnacentral:rRNA from 1 species
AUACGUAGGGGGCGAGCGUUGUCCGGAAUGAUUGGGCGUAAAGGGCGCGUAGGCGGCGCGGUAAGUCUGGAGUGAAAGUCCUGCUUUCAAGGUGGGAAUUGCUUUGGAUACUGCCGCGCUUGAGUGCAGGAGAGGUUAUCGGAAUUCCCGGUGUAGCAGUGAAAUGCGUAGAUAUCGAGAGGAACACCCGUGGCGAAGGCAAGUCCCUGGAAAACUCCUGACGCUGAGGCACGAAAGCUAGGGGAGUAAACAGGAUUAGAUACCCUGGUAGACCUAGCCCUAAACGGUGCACGUUUGCUGUGGGCGGAUUCGACCCCGUCCGUGGCGAAGCUAACGCGAUAAACGUGCCGCCUGGGAAGUACGGCCGCAAGGUUAAAACUCAAAGGAAUUGACGGGG